rnacentral:rRNA from 1 species
GACGAACCACACAAACGUUAUUCGGGAUUACUGGGCUUAAAGGGUGCGUAGGCUGUGCGGAAAGUUGGGUGUGAAAGCCCCCGGCUCAACCGGGGAAUUGCGCCCAAAACUACCGUGCUUGAGGAAGACAGAGGUGAGCGGAACUUCGGGUGGAGCGGUGAAAUGCGUUGAUAUCCGAAGGAACACCGGUGGCGAAAGCGGCUCACUGGGUCUUUUCUGACGCUGAUGCACGAAAGCUAGUGGAGCAAACGGG